rnacentral:miRNA from 10 species
AAGACCACUGAGAAACUCAAAUUCUUGGCACACGCUAGACCUACUGAAUCAGAAACUGUGUGGGUGGUGUCCAGAAAUCUGCAUUUUUUAAAAGAAGUCCUCCUGGUGAUUCUGAUA